GAUGAACGCUGGCGGCGUGCCUAAUACAUGCAAGUCGAGCGAAUGGAUUAAGAGCUUGCUCUUAUGAAGUUAGCGGCGGACGGGUGAGUAACACGUGGGUAACCUGCCCAUAAGACUGGGAUAACUCCGGGAAACCGGGGCUAAUACCGGAUAACAUUUCGAACCGCAUGGUUCGAAAUUGAAAGGCGGCUUCGGCUGGCACUUAUGGAUGGACCCGCGUCGCAUUAGCUAGUUGGUGAGGUAACGGCUCACCAAGGCAACGAUGCGUAGCCGACCUGAGAGGGUGAUCGGCCACACUGGGACUGAGACACGGCCCAGACUCCUACGGGAGGCAGCAGUAGGGAAUCUUCCGCAAUGGACGAAAAUCUGACGGAGCAACGCCGCGUGAGUGAUGAAGGCUUUCGGGUCGUAAAACUCUGUUGUUAGGGAAGAACAAGUGCUAGUUGAAUAAGCUGGCACCUUGACGGUACCUAACCAGAAAGCCACGGCUAACUACGUGCCAGCCGCCGCGGUAA
rnacentral:rRNA from 1 species